rnacentral:rRNA from 1 species
GAGGGGCGGUUUGGGGCAUGGGGGGAACCCUGAUCCAGCCAUGCCGCGUGUGUGAAGAAGGCCUUUUGGUUGUAAAGCACUUUAAGCAGUGAAGAAGACUCUUCGGUUAAUACCCGGAGACGAUGACAUUAGCUGCAGAAUAAGCACCGGCUAACUCUGUGCCAGCAGCCGCGGUAAUACAGAGGGUGCAAGCGUUAAUCGGAAUUACUGGGCGUAAAGCGAGCGUAGGUGGCUUGAUAAGUCAGAUGUGAAAUCCCCGGGCUUAACCUGGGAACUGCAUCUGAAACUGUUAGGCUAGAGUAGGUGAGAGGGAAGUAGAAUUUCAGGUGUAGCGGUGAAAUGCGUAGAGAUCUGAAGGAAUACCGAUGGCGAAGGCAGCUUCCUGGCAUCAUACUGACACUGAGGCUCGAAAGCGUGGGUAGCAAACAGGAUUAGAUACCCUGGUAGUCCACGCCGUAAACGAUGUCUACUAGUCGUUGGGUCCCUUGAGGACUUAGUGACGCAGCUAACGCAAUAAGUAGACCGCCUGGGGAGUACGGCCGCAAGGUUAAAACUCAAAUGAAUUGACGGGGGCCCGCACAAGCGGUGGAGCAUGUGGUUUAAUUCGAUGCAACGCGAAGAACCUUACCUGGUCUUGACAUAUCUAGAAUCCUGCAGAGAUGCGGGAGUGCCUUCGGGAAUUAGAAUACAGGUGCUGCAUGGCUGUCGUCAGCUCGUGUCGUGAGAUGUUGGGUUAAGUCCCGCAACGAGCGCAACCCUUGUCCUUAGUUACCAGCGGGUUAAGCCGGGAACUCUAAGGAUACUGCCAGUGACAAACUGGAGGAAGGCGGGGACGACGUCAAGUCAUCAUGGCCCUUACGACCAGGGCUACACACGUGCUACAAUGGUAGGUACAGAGGGCAGCUACACAGCGAUGUGAUGCGAAUCUCA